rnacentral:lncRNA from 1 species
GAGGUGCAUCACAUCCGACUUGAGCAGGAAACUGAAUGUCGUGUCUCGUCACAGAAGGGGUGGGUGGCUUGGAAUGUCAUCUAUAAUGACCCACCCAGCUCUGCCCACUUACCUUCCACAAUCUGCUGGCUGGGUUAAAGCGAACGGAGCAUCAAGAGAUCAUCAAUCUGUGUGUAACACUUUGAUAUGUAUCAUCAAAACCAUUAUUUGUUGUGGUCAGACAGACCAGUCUGUAGGCAUAGCUUGAGAAGACGCUGUGGUGGACUUGGCUAUGAUUGCUGUGGACAGCAGGAGAAUGAGGACAGCAGUGCUUCAUGGAUGCAUGAGCAACCGACAGUGUGCUAUUAUGCUGGUGAAACUGACCUCACCCACGAAUAUAUUGAGAUAGAGACAGAUUCCUGCUUGACUGUAGCUGAUCAAGAUUUUGAAGAGGUCCACAUUGGACAGGAGCUGGAAGACCACGAAGUCUGGUUGGAACAGACCCAUCAAACAGACUAUGACCAAGAACACAUUCACGGAGUGUCGUCUUGCCCUCCGACAAAUCACAGAAUGAAUGAAGGGUCAGAACAGAAUAAAGGCUGUUUAUGCCCAUACAGGACUGUUCAUUCAAGAUGGGGCAAUGAGGCAACCAACCAGUGUCCAUGUGUGUCUCCUCAGUGUUUUAAUGUGAGGAACACCCUGGUAGUCGGUGUUGAGGUGGAUGUUCUAGAAGAGCUGGUUUAUGAAGACACAGAAAUUGUGCAAACACAGACAGUGUUUGAUGGAAGUCUGGAAAACCAUCCUAUGAACUCCACAUCAUGUUGUUGCAACCAACUGUUUCUUCAGUGAACAGAAUUGCAAUUAUUUUAGUAGUACUAUUGUUAUUAGUAUUAGUAGUUGUAUCGGUUGUAUUUUACAGUGUUUGUGUGUUUCUACAUGAUUAUAUCUACAUCUUCUGCAGAAAGGUGCUGCAUACAGGACAAUCCAAUCAAUAUAAUCACCAUUCAUAUAUUAUUCAUUCACUUUUCUACACUGGAUUUAAUGAGUGAUUGCAAUAACUCUUAAACAAAGUCAUUCAAAGUGGGUUUGAUCCAAAAUGUUCCAUUCUAGAGAAACUUACCAAAAUUCCAUACAUUGGUGGUGAUAUAUAAAACCAUAAAUACAGUAUAUAUAAGUAAAACAAGCACAACCACAUUAAAAAAAAUUACUAGAGUUUUGUUAAUGAACUGUUUAUAACAAUUAAAGAGUGUUAAAUCCA